rnacentral:rRNA from 1 species
GACGAACGCUGGCGGCGUGCCUAAUACAUGCAAGUAGAACGCUGAAGGAGGAGCUUGCUUCUCUGGAUGAGUUGCGAACGGGUGAGUAACGCGUAGGUAACCUGCCUGGUAGCGGGGGAUAACUAUUGGAAACGAUAGCUAAUACCGCAUAAGAGUAGAUGUUGCAUGACAUUUGCUUAAAAGGUGCAAUUGCAUCACUACCAGAUGGACCUGCGUUGUAUUAGCUAGUUGGUGGGGUAACGGCUCACCAAGGCGACGAUACAUAGCCGACCUGAGAGGGUGAUCGGCCACACUGGGACUGAGACACGGCCCAGACUCCUACGGGAGGCAGCAGUAGGGAAUCUUCGGCAAUGGACGGAAGUCUGACCGGGCAACGCCGCGUGAGUGAAGAAGGUUUUCGGAUCGUAAAGCUCUGUUGUAAGAGAAGAACGAGUGUGAGAGUGGAAAGUUCACACUGUGACGGUAUCUUACCAGAAAGAGACGGCUAACUACGUG